rnacentral:tRNA from 1 species
GCGAGCGUAACUCAGAUGGUAGAGUGUCAGCUUCCCAAGCUGAAUGUCGCGGGUUCGAACCCCGUCGCUCGCUCAA